rnacentral:rRNA from 1 species
GACGAACGCUGGCGGCGUGCCUAGUACAUGCAAGUAGAACGCUGAAGGAGGAGCUUGCUUCUCUGGAUGAGUUGCGAACGGGUGAGUAACGCGUAGGUAACCUGCCUGGUAGCGGGGGAUAACUAUUGGAAACGAUAGCUAAUACCGCAUAAGAUUGACUAUUGCAUGAUAGUCAGUUAAAAGGUGCAAUUGCAUCACUACCAGAUGGACCUGCGUUGUAUUAGCUAGUUGGUGGGGUAACGGCUCACCAAGGCGACGAUACAUAGCCGACCUGAGAGGGUGAUCGGCCACACUGGGACUGAGACACGGCCCAGACUCCUACGGGAGGCAGCAGUAGGGAAUCUUCGGCAAUGGACGGAAGUCUGACCGAGCAACGCCGCGUGAGUGAAGAAGGUUUUCGGAUCGUAAAGCUCUGUUGUAAGAGAAGAACGAGUGUGAGAGUGGAAAGUUCACACUGUGACGGUAUCUUACCAGAAAGGGACGGCUAACUACGUG